GACGAACGCUGGCGGCGUGCUUAACACAUGCAAGUCGAACGGGUCUGCCCUGUUUUUUGCGGGGUGGGUCAGUGGCGAACGGGUGAGUAACACGUGAGUAACCUGCCCCUCACUUCUGGAUAACCGCUUGAAAGGGUGGCUAAUACGGGGUGUUCUGGCUGUGCCGCAUGGUGUGGCUGGGAAAGAUUCACUUUUGUGGUGUUUUGGUGGGGGAUGGGCUCGCGGCCUAUCAGCUUGUUGGUGGGGUGAUGGCCUGCCAAGGCUUUGACGGGUAGCCGGCCUGAGAGGGUGGGCGGUCACACUGGGACUGAGAUACGGCCCAAACUCCUGCGGGAGGCAGCAGUGGGGGGUAUUGCACAAUGGGCGGAAGCCUGAUGCAGCGACGUCGCGUGAGGGAUGGAGGCCUUCGGGUUGUGAACCUCUUUCGCCGGUGAAGAAGGUCCUGCUCUUUGUGGUGGGGUUGACGGUAGCCGGGUUAUGAAGCGCCGGCUAACUACGUG
rnacentral:rRNA from 1 species